GCGACAUGCUUCUUGCUGCUUGGCUCACUUCGUCGCUGUGGAUAUUUGUUGCUGCGCUUCAUCAUCCAAAGCCAAGUUGCCUCAGUUGUGUCAAGUUGUGAUAGAGACUCACACUCAGGACUCCGAAUAAUAUGCCAUCACGAGGUACAGGGCGAAUAUGCACGUUUCUCGUGCGUCACUUGGACGAUGAGACCUUCGGCGACAGGCUCUGCUGGCUGGACAAGGAAUGCGGAGUGUUCCGGAUAUUUUGGCCGCAUGGGAACUCUUGCAUGUUCCAAAGGAAAAAGGAUUACGCAGUAUUCGCCGCUUGGGAUUGUUUGAAAGGCCGACAAAGGGACAAAUGCGAAGAUGAAAAGAUCUUCUGUGACGCUAAACACAGGUUCCGCACGGCUUUGAAGAAAAUGGAUGUGAAAAAACUCGUGUCUUGGAAACACAAGCAUCCUCCAAAAUACUACCAUUUCAGGCAAAUACCUAUGGAGGAUCUAAAGCUUCUGGAGCAACGUCGAUCCUUUGCUGAGCGUCCUUUGCCGGCCAAAGUACGAAAGAACUCCGCUGGAGAUUGCAACCGUAGUGAACCUAUCCUGAUAGAGAACCUCGAAAACACAGCCCCAGCACAAGUGACGCCACGAAAUGAACAGUGCGGCAAGUUGUCGCCUUCCAAUAAUUUCGAUUAUUCGCGAGAUUUUGCGAUAGGCAUGUGGACUGAACUCUUUGAAGAACAUGACUGGCUGCCAAUGCUCAUUUCUCCGCAUGGAUCAGACCUUUCAUAAAUAUUGCCACCAAGCUGCGAAUGCCUAGUCAAGUGCGAGUGAACCCGUUGCAGGCUAUGGUUUUCUUUUGAUCUGCAUGAGAAGUGUACAUACUUAUAAUAAAAACACGUU